rnacentral:rRNA from 1 species
GAUGAACGCUAGCGGCAGGCUUAAUACAUGCAAGUCGAGGGGCAGCAUGAUGUAGCAAUCCUUUGAUGGCGACCGGCAAACGGGUGCGGAACACGUACACAACCUUCCUUUAAGUGGGGAAUAGCCCAGAGAAAUUUGGAUUAAUACUCCGUAACACAACGAAAUGGCAUCACUUUGUUGUUAUAGUUUCUGCGCUUAAUGAUGGGUGUGAGUAUGAUUAGUUAGUUGGCAAGGUAACGGUUCCCAAAUCUACGAUAAUUAGCUGAUGUGAGAGCAUGAUCAACCACACGUGAACUAAGGCACAGACCCGACUCCUACGCAAAGCAGCAGUAAAUAAUAUUAGUCAAUGGACGCAAGUCUAAACCAACCAUGCCGCGUAAAAAAUUAAUCUCCUCUUGAUUGUAAACUUCUUUUAUAUAAAACGAAAAAAUGUCUUUCUAGACCCCUUGACGGUACCAUAUGAAUAAGCACCGGCUAACUCCGUG